rnacentral:sRNA from 1 species
UCUUUCUGAGGUUACUCACUUAAUCAAAGAGGAUAAACUUCCCAGAGAGAAGAGAGCAGUGAUUUUGCCAAGCAAAAAGCAGUAGCUGUGCUCCUGAACUAGAUAGACCAUCCAAAAAGCCCAUGAGCACUUUUCCAGACUAGC